rnacentral:rRNA from 1 species
GAACUUGAGUGCAGAAGAGGAGAGUGGAAUUCCACGUGUAGCGGUGAAAUGCGUAGAUAUGUGGAGGAACACCAGUGGCGAAGGCGACUCUCUGGUCUGUAACUGACGCUGAGGCUCGAAAGCGUGGGGAGCAAACAGGAUUAGAUACCCUGGUAGUCCACGCCGUAAACGAUGAGUGCUAAGUGUUGGAGGGUUUCCGCCCUUCAGUGCUGCAGCUAACGCAUUAAGCACUCCGCCUGGGGAGUACGGCCGCAAGGCUGAAACUCAAAGGAAUUGACGGGGACCGGCACAAGCGGUGGAGCAUGUGGUUUAAUUCGAAGUAACGCGAAGAACCUUACCAGGUCUUGACAUCCUUUGACCACUCUAGAGAUAGAGCUUUCCCUUCGGGGUCAAAGUGACAGGUGUUACAUGGUUGUCGUCAGCUCGUGUCGUGAGAUGUUGGGUUAAGUCCCGCAACGAGCGCAACCCUUAUUACUAGUUGCCAGCAUUUAGUUGGGCACUCUAGUGAGACUGCCGGUGACAAACCGGAGGAAGGUGGGGAUGACGUCAAAUCAUCAUGCCCCUUAUGACCUGGGCUACACACGUGCUACAAUGGAUGGUACAACGAGUCGCAAGGUCGCGAGGCCAAGCUAAUCUCUUAAAGCCAUUCUCAGUUCGGAUUGUAGGCUGCAACUCGCCUACAUGAAGCCGGAAUCGCUAGUAAUCGC